AUAGCGGAGGAAAAGAAACUAACAAGGAUUCCCCUAGUAACGGCGAGUGAACCGGGAAGAGCUCAAAUUUGAAAUCUGGCGUGCUCAGUGCGUCCGAGUUGUAAUCUAUAGAGUCGUUUUCCGUGCCGGACUGUGUCCAAGUCCCUUGGAACAGGGUAUCAAAGAGGGUGAUAAUCCCGUACUUGACACAAUGACCGGUGCUCUGUGAUACGUCUUCUACGAGUCGAGUUGUUUGGGAAUGCAGCUCAAAAUGGGUGGUGAGUUCCAUCUAAAGCUAAAUAUUGGCGAGAGACCGAUAGCGAACAAGUACCGUGAGGGAAAGAUGAAAAGCACUUUGGAAAGAGAGUUAAACAGUACGUGAAAUUGUUAAAAGGGAAACGAUUGAAGUCAGUCGUGACUGAGAGGCUCAGCCGGUUCUGCCGGUGUAUUCCCCUCAGUCGGGUCAACAUCAGUUUUGUUCGGUGGAUAAGGGCGGUUGGAAGGUGGCACCCUCGGGUGUGUUAUAGCCAACUGUCGCAUACAUCGGAUGAGACUGAGGAAUGCAGCUCGCCUUUAUGGCCGGGGUUCGCCCACGUUCGAGCUUAGGAUGUUGACAUAAUGGCUUUAAACGACCCGUCUUGAAACACGGACCA
rnacentral:rRNA from 1 species